UACGAAGGGUGCAAACGUUGCUCGGAAUUACUGGGCGUAAAGCGCGUGUAGGCGGUCGUGCAAGUCGGGUGUGAAAGCCCUGGGCUCAACCCAGGAAGUGCAUUCGAUACAGCACGUCUUGAGUCCGGAAGAGGUGGGUGGAAUUCCUAGUGUAGAGGUGAAAUUCGUAGAUAUUAGGAAGAACACCGGUGGCGAAGGCGGCCCACUGGUCCGGUACUGACGCUGAGGUGCGAAAGCGUGGGGAGCAAACAGG
rnacentral:rRNA from 1 species